AACGAACGCUGGCGGCAGGCUUAACACAUGCAAGUCGAACGCCCCGCAAGGGGAGUGGCGCACGGGUGAGUAACGCGUGGGAAUAUGCCCUUCGGUUCGGAAUAACACAGGGAAACUUGUGCUAAUACCGGAUACGAUCUACGGAUGAAAGAUUUAUCGCCGAGGGAGUAGCCCGCGUAGGAUUAGCUAGUUGGUGAGGUAAUGGCUCACCAAGGCGACGAUCCUUAGCUGGUCUGAGAGGAUGAUCAGCCACACUGGGACUGAGACACGGCCCAGACUCCUACGGGAGGCAGCAGUGGGGAAUAUUGGACAAUGGGGAAACCCUGAUCCAGCCAUGCCGCGUGAGUGAUGAAGGCCUUAGGGUUGUAAAGCUCUUUCGCCAGGGAAGAUAAUGACGGUACCUGGAAAAGAAGCCUCGGCUAACUCCGUGCCAGCAGCCGCAGUAACAC
rnacentral:rRNA from 1 species